rnacentral:rRNA from 1 species
CGGACGGGUGAGUAACGCGUGGAAAACCUGCCGUAUACUGGGGGAUAACACUUAGAAAUAGGUGCUAAUACCGCAUAAGCGCACAGCUUCGCAUGAAGCGGUGUGAAAAACUCUGGUGGUAUACGAUGGUUCCGCGUCUGAUUAGCUUGUUGGUGGGGUAAUGGCCUACCAAGGCAACGAUCAGUAGCCGGCCUGAGAGGGUGAACGGCCACAUUGGGACUGAGACACGGCCCAAACUCCUACGGGAGGCAGCAG